UGAUAUGGUCGUAGUACGGCGACCAGUAUAAUCGAAAGAAACGUACAAACGGA
rnacentral:sRNA from 12 species